UGCAAGUCGAACGGAGAUAUUAAUGAAGCUUGCGAUUUAAUAUCUUAGUGGCGGACGGGUGAGUAACGCGUGGGUAAUCUGCCCAUAAGUGGGGGACAACAGUUGGAAACGACUGCUAAUACCGCAUAUGCUGAGAAAUCAGUAAAGAUGGCCUCUGAAUAUGCUGUCGCUUAUGGAUGAGCCCGCGUCUGAUUAGCUAGUUGGUGGGGCAAUGGCCUACCAAGGCGACGAUCAGUAGCCGGCCUGAGAGGGUGAACGGCCACACUGGGACUGAGACACGGCCCAGACUCCUACGGGAGGCAGCAGUGGGGAAUAUUGCGCAAUGGGGGAAACCCUGACGCAGCGACGCCGCGUGAGCGAUGAAGGCCUUAGGGUUGUAAAGCUCUGUUUUAAGGGACGAAUGUUACGGGAAGUAAUGUGUCCUGUAAAUGACGGUACCUUAAGAGGAAGCCCCGGCUAACUACGUGCCAGCAGCCGCGGUAAGACGUAGGGGGCGAGCGUUGUCCGGAAUUACUGGGCGUAAAGAGCACGUAGGCGGAGACUUAAGUCAGGUGUGAAAGACCGGGGCUCAACCCCGGGACGGCACUUGAAACUGGGUCCCUUGAGGGCAGGAGAGGAAAGUAGAAUUCCUGGUGUAGCGGUGAAAUGCGUAGAAAUCAGGAGGAAUACCAGUGGCGAAGGCGACUUUCUGGACUGACCC
rnacentral:rRNA from 1 species